CCAACUGGCCGCUCUUCCUGCUCUUGUAACCCAACUGGUUGCUCGUCCUGCUCUUGUAACACCAUCAAUCUAGCGCACAAACACAAACACAAACACGAGCGUUGCGUCCAGAGGCAAGGAGUAGUAGAGGGAGAGAUGGAUGCGGUGAGCGCUUCGGAGGGCGCAUUGGGCCCUCUGUUGGGGAAGCUCACCGAUCUGCUCGCCAACGAGUUUAAGCGCCUGAAAGGGGUGCGGAGUGAGAUCCACUCUCUCAAAGCGGAGCUCACCAGCAUGCAUGGUGCGCUCAAGAAGUACACGACGAUAGAAGAUCCGGAUGAGCAAGUGAAGACAUGGAUAUCGCUCUUAAGGGAGCUGGCAUACGAUACUGAAGACUGCUUCGACAAGUUCAUUCACCAGCUUGGCAGUGGCGGCAGCAACCACCGUGGCGGCUUCAAGGAGUUCUUCCGCAAGAUUGUUAGCUGCCUCAGGACACUUGGGCAUCGGCAUGGAUUUGCAAACCAAAUCGAUGACCUCAAGGCUCGUAUCAAUCAAGUGAAAGAUCUCAAGACUAGUUACAAGCUUGAUGAUAUUGCGUGCAGCAACGCCAACUCCAGCCAUGGUGCUGGAGGUCUUCGACUUGAUGCUCGUUUCAGUGAAAACAUUAUUGGCAUCGACGGUCCAACAAGUGAUCUUGCCAAGUGGAUGAUGGAAGAAGAAAAUAGCUCAACCAAGCAUCAUCGCAAGGUGUUGUCAAUUGUUGGGUUUGGUGGACUGGGAAAGACAACAUUAGCGAACGAGGUAUAUGGCAAAAUUGAACGGCAGUUUGAUUGCAAGGCUUUUGUAUCCAUCUCACAAAAGCCAGAUAUAAAGAAAAUAGUCAAGGGUCUGAUCCAUAAAGUGCCUUAUCCGAAGGAUUAUACAAAAGACAUCGAAAACUGGGAUGAAAUGACAUCUAUUGAAAAGCUGAGGAACCUACUGGAAGAUAAGAGGUAUCUCAUCAUCGUUGAUGAUGUAUGGUCUGUAUCAGCAUGGAAUGAUAUCAAGGGUGCUUUUCCAGAGAAUAACCGCUCUAGCCGGAUUAUAGCUACUACACGCAUUUUUGAUGUAGCAAGGUCAUGUUCCCUGAGUACUGAUGACCGCAUCUAUGAAAUGAAGCCCUUAAAUGGUUCUCAUUCUAAAAGAUUGUUUCUCAAAACAAUAUUUGGCUCUGAGGAUUGUUGCCCUGAUAUGCUGAGAGAUGUCUCGUAUGAGAUCUUGAAAAAAUGUGGAGGCCUACCAUUGGCAAUUAACAGUAUAUCUCAUUUAUUGGCAAGAGGACCAAUUAACAAACAAGAGUGGGAGAAGGUGAAAAGGUCAAUUGGUUCUGACCUGAGCAAAAGCCAGAGUCUAGAGGGAAUGAAAAAUAUAUUAUCCUUGAGCUACAAUGUUCUUCCUGGUCACCUCAAGACUUGUUUGUUGUAUUUAAGUAUUUUUCCUGAGGAUUAUGUCAUUGACAAAGAGAGGUUAGUCAGGCGAUGGAUAGCAGAGGGCUUCAUCUCUGAAGAGCGUGGACAGAGCAAACAGGAUGUUGCUGAGAAGUACUUCUACGAGCUUAUCAAUAAAAACAUGGUCCAACCAGUGGACAUUGGCCAUGAUGGUAAGGCUCGUGCCUGUAGAGUGCACGACAUGAUGCUUGAACUUCUUAUUUCCAAAUCAGCCGAAGAGAACUUCAUCACUGUGGUAGACAGCGGGCAAACAGUUCUGGCAAAUCGACAAGGUUUUAUUCGACGACUAUCAAUCCAGGGCAUUGACCAGGAGAUUGCAUCUUUAUUGGAAAAUGAAGAUCUGAGCCAUGUUCGAUCUCUGACAGUGACAAGAUCAGGUUGCAUCAAAUACUUGCCCAGUCUUGGUAAAUUUGACGCUUUACGUGUAUUAGAUUUUGAAGAUUGUGAGGAUGUAAAGGAGUAUGACAUGAGCCCUAUGGACAAGCUAUUCCAGCUAAAGUUUGUCAGCUUUAAAAACACAUACAUAUCAGAGCUACCAUCAAGAAUUGUGACGCUACAUGGUCUCGAGACGCUAGACCUUAGGAAUACAUGCAUUGAUGAAUUGCCUGCUGGAAUUGAUCAGCUCAUCAAGCUACAACAUCUGCUCACUGAAAGUGGCCCAUAUAGAUACAGAUACAGAUCUGGGAGAACCAAGGUACCAAACGGGAUUGGGAAUAUGAGGAGCCUACAAGUGGUCUCAGGCUUUAAUAUUUCCCUCAGUUCAGUUGGAGCAGUGGAGGAGCUCGGGAAUCUGGAUACUUUGAAUGAACUCCAUGUGCAUUUGGGUGAUGCAAACAAUAGGCGUGCAGAUAUGUUGCUCUCCUAUGUAUGUAGGCUUGGAAGACACAAACUCCAAUGUUUCUGGAUAUCCACUGAUUUUUCAACUCCCCUCGAGUUCUUAGAUUCUUGGUCUCCUGUGCCAUCUAAACUCCUAAUAUUUGGGAUGACCACAAACUACUAUUUUCCAAAAAUUCCAAAGUGGAUCACACCAGAACUCACCAGUCUUACAUACCUACUACUUAUUGUCAGUGACGUAACACAGGAGGAACUUCACAUGCUUGGCGAGCUUCCUUGUUUACUUUAUCUGGAACUUUGGUUGGAGCGAGGGCAAAGGAGAACGCUUGCUGUGCAAGGCAGAGGGUUCCAAUGUUUGAAGGAGCUGCACUUUCGUCUUUCGUAUAGCACUGCUGGUACUGUCAACUUUGUAUUUACGGAAGGGGCAUUGCCAAAUCUUGAGAAGCUCGAUGUCCCGGUUUCAGUGGCAACAGAGGAUGCGUAUUAUUUCGGUAUCGUGCACCUCGCAAGUCUGAAAGAUGCAAAAUUCCGUCUUGACAAGUGGGGAGCCACAUAUUCUGAGUUAAAGGCUGCAUCAGCUGCCAUAAGGAAUGAAACAAAUGCCCAUCGCAACCGCCUCACAGUAACUAUCGUGGGAGCAGACGACAGCAGCGAUGAAGAGCAUGACGAUGAAUAA
rnacentral:rRNA from 1 species